AAACCAGAACAUCAACGGCAUGAUUUUGAAAUAAUAAUAAACGAAAAACAAAUAUGAGAGACAGCAUCCAACAACCAGUACUAUAUGCAUAAGGCGAAGUAUUAUACGUUAACUUACGCAUUUAACGAAAUUAAGGAUAAAAACGUGCCUCGUUAGUUACGCUUUAUAUUCCCUUUAUUCCAAAAAAAGAAAAAUGAACACACCAGCCAUAAAUGAUUUCCUUUGGUUUAAUAUGAGUUCAAACAAGUAUGACUGUGCUAUCUCAAAUCUUC
rnacentral:lncRNA from 1 species